rnacentral:lncRNA from 1 species
AUAUAUAUAUAUAUAUAUAUGUUGUACAGAUAUUGUUAUAAAGUAAUAGAAUACUAUAUAAUAUUGUAUUACUAUGUUUAGGAAGGGCACUGCAGUUGUCCUGCAGUUAUGCAACUUAUCAACCCAUAGCUGCGAUAACUGCAAAUUUUUUUAAUAAGAAAAGAUAUUGUAUGACUUCGGUAUCCGCAAUACGGUAUCGUGCAUUGAUUUCCAUCUUAGAAUGGCUCCCUUCCAUAUAGGUGGAAAUAGGAAAGGUUAUGCCCUUUUUUCUAAUUCUUAAGACGAAGAGGCUUAAUCGGUUCAAACAACGAUGACAAUGAUCAUUAUGGAGCCGAUCAUGAUGACGAAUACGAUAAUGCAUAUAAUAAUAAAUAAAAUGAUUUUACUUGUAUCUUAGACUUAAAAAAUUAUUUGUUUAA